UUUUGGGAAGUGUUAUCACGUCAUAUUUUGAAUAUGGAGAAGAAGAUUAGGUUUUUCCCCAAAAC
rnacentral:tRNA from 1 species